rnacentral:lncRNA from 1 species
GCGUCGUCGGCGGGCAGCGGCGCCAUUAAUUGCGAAGUGGAAAGCAAAAUUGAGGAAGCGAAUCGCGGAAGGGUUUUGAAAUUUCGAACACGCCCGGUUGUGCCCGUGCCCGUGACGCCGUGACACAUUAGGAAGGGAAUUUCCAAAUUCAGCUGAGGGGAAAAUCACUUGUAAUCUUCUGGUGACGUAGCAUUAAUUUAGUUGCCUUAUUAAUUCAGAAGAAUAUAUGAAUUAACA